CGGGGUGAGUAAUGUCUGGGAAACUGCCUGAUGGAGGGGGAUAACUGCUGGAAACGGUUGCUAAUACCGCAUAACGUCGCAAGACCAAAGAGGGGGACCUUCGGGCCUCUUGCCAUCGGAUGUGCCCAGAUGGGAUUAGCUAGUAGGUGGGGUAACGGCUCACCUAGGCGACGAUCCCUAGCUGGUCUGAGAGGAUGACCAGCCACACUGGAACUGAGACACGGUCCAG
rnacentral:rRNA from 1 species